GGGGGCGUUCUGGAUUCGACUGAGUGGACGCGUCAUUGAUUGCAUGCCGAGGAUGGUUCUGACCUCGUUAACACCGGCCCAAAAAACUAACUGCCAACGAAGAAUUGGCUCUCGCGGCUUAAUUAAGCCGUGACGUCUGCCCCUUGACGCCGACUAGAGGGAGCGGGCGCCGACAGACGGCUAGGAGAUCAGCGGAGAUCGCGCGUUGUGAACUGAAGCUUUUCAUGCGAACUAGGCGACGGGAUUUGUGUCAGGUCAUUAUCCUUUAGCCGAAUAACGUUACCUGACUAUGCAUGUAGAGGUCUUUGAUUAUUUUGCUUAGGACGUGGGUUCAAUUCCCACCGCCUCCACCA
rnacentral:tmRNA from 1 species